UGAAACAUUCAAGAUGGUUAACAGAGGCUUACAUAUUGGCAGAGCAUGCAGGUUGUGACAGAAAGAUCAAAUGGAGUUUUGGCUCAGCUCAGCAGAGUUUCUACAUAUGCACCAUUUGUGUACCACUGGGCUUCAUACUCAAGUCAAGAGGCGGAACUAAGGUGAAGUCACGUGAAGACACGCUUAC